GACGAACGCUGGCGGCGUGCCUAACACAUGCAAGUCGAACGGGACUUAGUGGAAUGUGGCUUCGGCCAAAGGAAGCUAAGUUUAGUGGCGAACGGGUGAGUAACGCGUGAGAAACCUGCCUUUCAGUGGGGGACAACAGUUGGAAACGACUGCUAAUACCGCAUAAUGUCAUUUAGGGGCAUCCCUUAAUGACCAAAGAUUUAUUGCUGAAAGAUGGUCUCGCGUCUGAUUAGCUAGAUGGCGGGGUAACGGCCCACCAUGGCGACGAUCAGUAGCCGGUCUGAGAGGAUGAACGGCCACAUUGGGACUGAGAUACGGCCCAGACUCCUACGGGAGGCAGCAGUGAGGGAAUAUUGGUCAAUGGUCUGACGACUGAACCAGCCAUGCCGCGUGAAGGUGACGGCCCUAUGGGUCUUAAACUUC
rnacentral:rRNA from 1 species